AAACUGGGGAGAAAAGAACCAACAGAGAUGGUCACCAGUUUGCCCAAGAUAACUGUGGCCUACACACAAGACUUGGCCCACAAUUGUCUCCAUUCCUUCCCCUUUCCUGGGUUUGGCAGUCACUCAUGCAGGAUUUUUGGGGACAGCAUUGGCUUUGAACACAACUUGAUUUGGUGCAUUUAAUCCUUGGACAGGCUGGGGGCAAAAGGGAGGACAAAAUAGGAUGAAGAGCUGGGUAAAGAUACAAGUCAAAGGGGGUGAGGGAAGAACAAGUAGUGCAGAGAGGGUCAAUAAGGGAGUAUCUUUUAAAAGCAUCCCCGCACGCACUGACCUAAUGUGUUCUCCCUUACACCAGCCUGGGGGACAUGCACGGCCCCAGGGCAGACACUGCAGCCUGUUUGCUGGCACAGGGCCCCUCCUGCUUCUAUGGGGCAUUUCUGCUUUGCACUGACACCUACACCCAUGGGCUUGCUGUGAACGCCCCACCCAAGAGUGGAACACACGUUCAGGUAUGCAUGACGGAAAAGGCAUGGAUGUGCUGCCAAGGAAAGGCAGAGGGAAUUGGUCUUUAAAGCUGACAGUCCAAGCCUGGGGAGUAGGUGGGGAGCUGGAGGUGAGGUGGGGUGGCAAGAGGAGGAGCAAGGGGCUGCUGCAGAUGGUGGUGGGACCCUCUCUGACGGCUUUGAGUUCCUUCUACUGAGGGACUUUUUCUACACAGGCCAUUCCAAUGCCUCAGCUCUGGUCACAGUUUCCUUUAUCACAGGGAUGAGGAAUUAAGACAUGGUCAUUUAUCCCUUUUGACUCUUGCAUCAAGGCCUGGUAGCUGCUGCACUGGCUUCUGAGGAGCCCACAACCCCCUAACCACUGCCCAGCUGAAACCCUCCCUUCAGAUUUGGGGAUGUGACCUUUCCUGUCAUGGUUUUCAUCAGAAAUCCCCAAAUGUCAUUAAAACAUCUAGGGAAGGAAAAUCAUUACCAGGAAGUCAGAAGAGGAAGGCCCCCUCUUCCUCCUACCCACUCACUCCCUGUUUUGCUCACAGGGCUUGGGAGGUUUUGUGUUCAUCAUUGCUGGGAACAGCCUUGUCCGGGUGAUGACCACUAACGGCUCCACCACACGCCGGCCGACCCGGGAUGGCUCUGAUCCCACAGGGCUCUUGCUCUGAUGCUGUGUAAUUACUGCCAUGUCGCAAAACAACGGGGGGUUCCUCUUUGGGGUUGUGAAGACAGUCCUGUCAGUGUCCCAGGGUGCCACAGCAAACAGCUCUGCCACCCACAGAGACGUGGCAACCUCCAAAUGAGGGCAAGGGCAGGCUGUGUCCUUGGUCCCUCCAUCCUUGCUGCUGACAGCUGUCACGGCCUAGGCACGCCCUUUGCUAAGAUUCAGGUGCACUCUCACUGCUUCCUGAGGGACUGUAAGUUGGUUUGGGAGGCACCAGAGCCUGGGAGAGGCAGGGUUUGUAAAGCUCCUUAAAGAAGCUGGGAUACUGAGAUAAACUGUCCAGCCUGUGGAUGAUCCAGCGGACUUGUCUCCUUCAGAGAGGCACUAACACCUGGGCUAAAAGCUCCUCCUGCAAGGAAUGAACCACACUCAGACCCUUUUGGAUCUCAUUUCCGCAAAGGAAAGAACAUUGUCUGGGUCACCUUAGCAACUACUUUCUCCAGGAACCUGCAUGUGCAGUAACCUGAGACAGGGGUAGGAGAAAGCAUCCCAUCCCUGCUCCUUCCAAUAGGGGGAUAAUAAGGGAAAAUGCUCAGAUGGAGGAAACGCAGGUGAACAGAUGCUAACUGCCACCAAAAUAUGACUCUGACAUUGUUAGCUACUUGGCUAUGAAGAAAAUACAGCACCUAGGGAGGUGAUAACCAUAGCUGAAGAGGCAUUCUCAUGGUGUUUUUCCCUGCACUUGCAUAAUUCAAAGCUAUUGGACCAGAGAGACAGACAGACAGACAGACACUGUCUGCAGGCAUGGCAACAAAUAAAUGUGACUACUUUUCAA